UUCCGUAGGUGAACCUGCGGAGGGAUCAUUACCGAGUUUACAACUCCCAAACCCCUGUGAACAUACCUUAAUGUUGCCUCGGCGGAUCAGCCCGCGCCCCGUAAAACGGGACGGCCCGCCAGAGGACCCAAACUCUAAUGUUUCUUAUUGUAACUUCUGAGUAAAACAAACAAAUAAAUCAAAACUUUCAACAACGGAUCUCUUGGUUCUGGCAUCGAUGAAGAACGCAGCAAAAUGCGAUAAGUAAUGUGAAUUGCAGAAUUCAGUGAAUCAUCGAAUCUUUGAACGCACAUUGCGCCCGCUGGUAUUCCGGCGGGCAUGCCUGUUCGAGCGUCAUUUCAACCCUCAAGCCCCCGGGUUUGGUGUUGGGGAUCGGCUCUGCCUCACGGCGGUGCCGCCCCCGAAAUACAUUGGCGGUCUCGCUGCAGCCUCCAUUGCGUAGUAGCUAACACCUCGCAACUGGAACGCGGCGCGGCCAUGCCGUAAAACCCCAACUUCUGAAUGUUGACCUCGGAUCAGGUAGGAAUACCCGCUGAACUUAAGCAUAUCAAUAAGCGGAGGA
rnacentral:rRNA from 1 species